AUUGAACGCUGGCGGCAUGCUUUACACAUGCAAGUCGAACGGCAGCGCGGGCUUCGGCCUGGCGGCGAGUGGCGAACGGGUGAGUAAUGCAUCGGAACGUGCCCAGUAGUGGGGGAUAGCCCGGCGAAAGCCGGAUUAAUCCCGCAUACGACCUGAGGGUGAAAGCGGGGGACAGAAAGGCCUCGCGCUAUUGGAGCGGGCGAUGUCGGAUUAGCUAGUUGGUGGGGUAAAGGCUUACCAAGGCGACGAUCCGUAGCUGGUCUGAGAGGACGACCAGCCACACUGGGACUGAGACACGGCCCAGACUCCUACGGGAGGCAGCAGUGGGGAAUUUUGGACAAUGGGGGCAACCCUGAUCCAGCCAUGCCGCGUGCGGGAAGAAGGCCUUCGGGUUGUAAACCGCUUUUGUUCGGGAAGAAAUCCUCUGGGCUAAUACCCCGGGGGGAUGACGGUACCGGAAGAAUAAGCACCGGCUAACUACGUG
rnacentral:rRNA from 1 species